AUGGCCGAGGCAGGUCGAAGUGUAGUAUGUGUUGUUAUCAGCCUAAUAUAUGUGAUACGGGUUCUAUUUGGACCCAAGUUAUCUAACUUGUUUUUUUGCAACUUGGCGGAGAGCUCGAAGCCUGCUUCACCUCCGCCGCAGGUUGAUCCGACAUUGCACAAUCUUCGGGAUCGACCCACAGUUU